AGAGUUGUAGGCAAGUAGUUGGACAAAAAGCAAGAAGCUGAUCGAUGUUGCUGGCUUUGGAUUCUUUGUGAACAAAUGAGACAAGGCUGCAAAUUCAGAGGAUCCUCCCAGAAGAUAAGAUGGAGCAGGUCACCACCUUCUUCCCUGCUUCACACCCUCAGGCCCCGACUCUUGUCUGCUGAGAUCACUCUCCAAACCAAUCUUCCCUUACAAAGCCCUUGUUGCAGGCUAUGCUUUCUGAGGGGAACCCAGGCCAAGACACUAAAAUGACACACCAACAUGAAGACAUGAACACAAUUGCAAAGGGAUUGGUUGGAUUGCAUAUCUCUGUGAAUGGGACUCAAGAGAAGUUUGGGAAAUGCUGGACCAGAUGACCCUUGCAAUCAUGGUGCACAGAAUUAAAACCGUCAAGUUCCCCAUCCAUCUCUGAGAUGGAUGAGAAUCUGAGUCUUCCACAAGAUGCCCAAGACUUGUUAAACCCGUGGAAUGUCUUUGGCCCCUUUUGUCUAAAAUAGUGAUGUACAUUAAAUGCAAAGGGCAAAUGGAACCAUUGAAAAGUACUUUUUGCAUCCAAAACAGCCAACGCUUUGGUGCCUGCUAUGUGUCAGACACUGAUUCUUCUGUCAUCCUUAUUCUACUGAUGAGGCAACUGAGGCAGCUUCAGAGAGUUCGAGUAACCUGCGGAUCACACAACUAGGAAGUAAGAGAGCUGGAACUUGACGUUGGGCUGUUGACCUCCAGAAAUGGUGUUUUUUCCAGUACUCAGUGCUGCCUCUGACUCCAUUGUGAUGGUUGAUUUUAUGUGUCAACUUGACUGGGCCCAGGGGUACCCAGAUAUUUGGUCAAACAUUAUUCUGGGUGUUUCUGUGAGGGCGUUUUGGGUGAGAUUAACAUUUAAAUUGGUAGACUGAG
rnacentral:lncRNA from 10 species